UUUGAUCCUGGCUCAGGACGAACGCUGGCGGCGUGCCUAAUACAUGCAAGUAGAACGCUGAAGAGAGGAGCUUGCUCUUCUUGGAUGAGUUGCGAACGGGUGAGUAACGCGUAGGUAACCUGCCUUGUAGCGGGGGAUAACUAUUGGAAACGAUAGCUAAUACCGCAUAACAAUGGAUGACACAUGUCAUUUAUUUGAAAGGGGCAAUUGCUCCACUACAAGAUGGACCUGCGUUGUAUUAGCUAGUAGGUGAGGUAAUGGCUCACCUAGGCGACGAUACAUAGCCGACCUGAGAGGGUGAUCGGCCACACUGGGACUGAGACACGGCCCAGACUCCUACGGGAGGCAGCAGUAGGGAAUCUUCGGCAAUGGGGGCAACCCUGACCGAGCAACGCCGCGUGAGUGAAGAAGGUUUUCGGAUCGUAAAGCUCUGUUGUAAGUCAAGAACGGGUGUGAGAGUGGAAAGUUCACACUGUGACGGUAGCUUACCAGAAAGGGACGGCUAACUACGUGCCAGCAGCCGCGGUAAUACGUAGGUCCCGAGCGUUGUCCGGAUUUAUUGGGCGUAAAGCGAGCGCAGGCGGUUUGAUAAGUCUGAAGUUAAAGGCUGUGGCUCAACCAUAGUUCGCUUUGGAAACUGUCAAACUUGAGUGCAGAAGGGGAGAGUGGAAUUCCAUGUGUAGCGGUGAAAUGCGUAGAUAUAUGGAGGAACACCGGUGGCGAAAGCGGCUCUCUGGUCUGUAACUGACGCUGAGGCUCGAAAGCGUGGGGAGCGAACAGGAUUAGAUACCCUGGUAGUCCACGCCGUAAACGAUGAGUGCUAGGUGUUGGAUCCUUUCCGGGAUUCAGUGCCGCAGCUAACGCAUUAAGCACUCCGCCUGGGGAGUACGACCGCAAGGUUGAAACUCAAAGGAAUUGACGGGGGCCCGCACAAGCGGUGGAGCAUGUGGUUUAAUUCGAAGCAACGCGAAGAACCUUACCAGGUCUUGACAUCCCGAUGCUAUUUCUAGAGAUAGAAAGUUACUUCGGUACAUCGGUGACAGGUGGUGCAUGGUUGUCGUCAGCUCGUGUCGUGAGAUGUUGGGUUAAGUCCCGCAACGAGCGCAACCCCUAUUGUUAGUUGCCAUCAUUCAGUUGGGCACUCUAGCGAGACUGCCGGUAAUAAACCGGAGGAAGGUGGGGAUGACGUCAAAUCAUCAUGCCCCUUAUGACCUGGGCUACACACGUGCUACAAUGGUUGGUACAACGAGUUGCGAGUCGGUGACGGCGAGCUAAUCUCUUAAAGCCAAUCUCAGUUCGGAUUGUAGGCUGCAACUCGCCUACAUGAAGUCGGAAUCGCUAGUAAUCGCGGAUCAGCACGCCGCGGUGAAUACGUUCCCGGGCCUUGUACACACCGCCCGUCACACCACGAGAGUUUGUAACACCCGAAGUCGGUGAGGUAACCUUUUUGGAGCCAGCCGCCUAAGGUGGGACAGAUGAUUGGGGUGAAGUCGUAACAAGGUA
rnacentral:rRNA from 1 species